rnacentral:lncRNA from 1 species
GAGCUGAGGGCCGUGCUGCUGGCUAAAGUGUCUGUGAGCCCUGCUGAGGCGGUGGAGGAGAUGAAGACCCGUCUGCAGCUGAAGGAGCGUCUGCUGCAGGAGCUCCUGUCCGAUCGCAGCCGGCAGGUUCAGGAGCACCAGGCACAGGUCCAGGACCUGCUCAACACAAUCAGUUCCAGAGACCAGUACAUCCAGGACUCUGCCAACAGAUUGGGGCAGGUUAUUGGGGAGCAGACGGGGCAGGUGCAACACCUACGGCAGCAGCUGCUGUCCCGGGAGCGUGAGCUGGCCGAGCUGAGUCGGGAGCGGGAGCGGGAGCGGGAGAGAGCUGAGCCAGUCACCAGAGAGCUGGAGAGAGUGCAGAACCUGCUCAAGGAGAAAGAGGCCUUCCUUCAGGAGCUGAUGCAGGGCCAGGAGGAGUCCAUGGGGAUCAGCAGUGGCAGGAGCUCAGAGGAACAGCAGGAGAACAGAGCCCUCAAAGAGGAGCUACAACUGGCCCUCAAGAAGCUCAGAGAGAACCAGGUACACACACACACACAUACACACACAUAUGUACACACACACACACACACACACACACACUCACACACUGUCACACACACACACACACACACACAUACACACAGACACACACACACACACGCACACACACACACACACACACACACUCUCACACAUCUAUACAUACAUACAUACUGUACAUGUACAUGUGUACACACAGAUGUAUGCAAGUUGACAUUCACAUAGAAUUAUACACAAUUAUACACUUACCAAAUGUAUCACACACACAGUGUACACAAUGCAGGUGUGUACCAGCAGGAUCAAAGUCCACGUGCUCAUGCCUCUGUCUGUGUGGUAUACAUCUCAUGUGUGUGUGUGCCUCUGUCUGUGUGGUAUACAUCUCAUGUGUGUGUGUGUGCCUCUGUCUGUGUGGUAUACAUCUCAUGUGUGUGUGUGUGCCUCUGUCUGUGUGGUAUACAUCUCAUGUGUGUGUGUGUGUGUGUGUGUGGUAUACAUCUCAUGUGUGUGUCUGUGUGGUAUACAUCUCAUGUGUGUGUCUGUGUGGUAUACAUCUCGUGUGUGUGUGUGUGUGUGUGGUAUACAUCUCAUGUGUGUGUGUGCCUCUGUCUGUGUGGUAUACAUCUCAUGUGUGUGUGUGUGUGUGUGGUAUACAUCUCAUGUGUGUGUGUGUGUGGUAUACAUCUCAUGUGUGUGUCUGUGUGGUAUACAUCUCAUGUGUGUGUGUGUGUGUGUGUGUGUGUGUGUGGUAUACAUCUCAUGUGUGUGUGUGCCUCUGUCUGUGUGGUAUACAUCUCAUGUGUGUGUGUGUGUGUGUGGUAUACAUCUCGUGUGUGUGUGUGUGGUAUACAUCUCAUGUGUGUGUCUGUGUGGUAUACAUCUCAUGUGUGUGUGUGUGUGUGUGGUAUACAUCUCAUGUGUGUGUGUGUGUGGUAUACAUCUCGUGUGUGUGUGUGUGUGUGUGUGUGUGUGUGUGUGUGUGGUAUACAUCUCAUGUGUGUGUGUGUGUGUGUGUGUGUGGUAUACAUCUCAUGUGUGUGCCUCUCCAGGUGGAACUGACUGCACUGAGAUCCUCACUGGCCUCCAGACAGGAUCUCCAGAGAGAGAGUCAGCAGACUUUCUUGGAGCAGCUAGUCUCGGACUACAACGGGCUGAAUGAGGCUUUGAGAGCUGAAAAGAAGCUCUAUCAGAACCUGGUCCAGAUGCAGAGCAGCCAGGACAGCGCAGAGAGGCUGCGGGUGCUGCACACAGAGCUGGACACCGUUCAGGCACUGAGAGGGCAGCUAGAGGAGGUCCUGAUGAGGACCCGAGAGACCGCCCUGGUGAUGGAAAAAGCCAAUAAGACGCAGGCUGACUUUGGAGGUGGGGACGGGCAGAGUGUUGGUCAACUAAGGGGACCACAUGGGGCGCCUGUGACUAAUUCUAAUGAAAGUGUGUUGCACCAAGAUGUGCUGUAGGCAACCACUAAUACUAACCGGGAGAGUGUGUAGGGACAAAGGAGUGGCUGAUGGUACGGCUGACUAAAGUGACAAUGUGCAAAGUGUUUCUAAGUUAUUUAAUUUAUUUUGUAUGAAUGUGUGUGUUUUUUUUUUUUUUUUUGCAAGCUGUCUGCUUAAUGGUUUCACUGCAAGAGUUCAGUUGAUUUUUGUUUACCAUUUUGGUGUAUUUGGUUUCUUGUGUAAAUGUCUGCAGCCUUUUCUUGUCUUAAGUGGCGUGGUGUGUAGUGUGGCACAUCCAUCUUUGAGUUUGGUCAUGACUGUUUACAGAAAACACACUCUAUCUGUCUCUCUCUGUCUGUCUUUCACACUAUAUCUGUCUCUCUCUGUCUGUCUUUCACACUCUAUCUGUCUCUCUUUGUCUUUCUUUUCUGUCUGUUCCUUGACCCCCCCCCCCCCCUUCUCUCUUAUACACUGUCUUACUCACUUUCUCUCAAACACAUACAUACAUACAGACAUACACACGCAUGUGCGCGCACACACACACACACACACACACAGAUAUGAGGCUUCUUUUUAAGAAAUGAAGAACAUGUGUUGCCAAAGGCAGCAGAUUCCAUAACAGAUCUAUGCAGUGCAUCUGCUAGUGAGCCAGUUUAAUGUGAGCGCAGCACACCAGUGCUUUAGUAGUCAAUGCUACCCACUUUCACUUGAAGGGGGGGAACUUACCAGCAGGUUUCACGUAAGAUUUUACAGUUUCAUUACUAAAUCACUUGAUGCCUUAAUUGAACAAUAUUAGCACUCUCACCUUAUUAGGAUCUGAAAUUUGAAACUGAAAAAAGAUGCUCUAAAACCUCCUGGUGAGACCCUUUCAAGAGCGGAGUCAGUAGCUGUCCUGUGGCCUAAGCUUUUACCAGAACGCCUCAGUAGACAGUUUGAUUUCAUCUGACCAAGGGAUCAUGCUUGAAAAUAGGAGCUGUUACUCACUCUCAAUCCAUGGCUAUUUUGUGAGCUGUGCAAGGCCAAUAUCUGUAUGAUCAUUCGUUUUAAACUCUGUGUUGUAGCUGCCAGUCUUAAGGUAAUAAGCAUGCAUGAAGGUAUAGUAAAGGUGUACGUGUUUUCCUUCUACCAUCGCUCAUUGUGACUCAGUGGUUCAUUUAUGUAGUUGACCUCGUUCCUUGUCCUCUCAUCUCUCAGAUAAACGUUGAGAAAACAGCGAAAGAGGUAGAACAACGCUGUAUGGUUAGGUGCCAUUUGAGAUGGGCUUUCGUUCGUCACUUUUUCACUCACUGUAGACCUCAUCCUGGGAAUAAAAGUAAAAAGAGGACCA